rnacentral:lncRNA from 1 species
UAAGGAUGUUCAACAUUUCUUUAGGUGCUUCUCUGCCAUUACUGGAUCUUACUAUAUAGCCCAGACUAGCCUCUAACACAAAGUAGUUGGAAGUGCUAAAUGCUGCCAGUGUGUGUGUGCACCUGUGCAUGCGUGCAUGUGUGAGUUGCCCCAGGAAUUGAAUCUAGGGCCUCAUUUAUGCCUGGUAAGCACUGUACAAGUUGAACUUUACCUUUAGCCUGCUGUGGGGAUGUUUUGGGUUCUUACAUGCAUCACCUAGUUAUUGAAAUAUAGAAAUAACAGGUCAUGGAUGAGUCUUUUGCUCAGAGUGCUCAUGGUAGCAGUGAGUGUGGAGAAUAGGCAAUCCAAGAUGUAAGAAGGGUAGAUGAGGACAAGGCUGACACAGACCUAUAAAUACCUUAAGGUCUCAUUUAGUGCUUUGAAAUAGUAAUUAGGUCAUAUUUAUUGUCUUCUCCAAGUUAUUUAUUGGUUGGCUCUGAAGACAAGGCAUUAGGACUUUUGGAGAAAAUGCUACUGUCUGGGACUCACAGAGACUGGAUAGAGUGCUGGGAUGUGGCUCAGGUAGUAGAGUGCUUUCCUGGUGUUCACAAGGCUGUACAGUUUUCUAGUACCUCACAGACCGGGCUAGAAAACUUCCAUAUAUAUAUAUAUGAGAGAACAACGGAAUUUUGUGUUUAGACUUGUGUCCUAUCCCCAAGGUAUCUUACUCUGUCAACAAAUGUAUUCCAAAAUCUG